CUGGUUGAUCCUGCCAGAGGUUACUGCUAUCGAGGUUCGACUAAGCCAUGCGAGUCGAAUGUAGCAAUACAUGGCGAACUGCUCAGUAACACGUGGACAACCUGCCCUUAGGUUGGGUAUAAACCCGGGAAACUGGGUAUAAUACCCGAUAGGUCUCGAUUGCUGGAAUGCAUCGAGAUUUAAAGCUCCGGCGCCUAAGGAUGGGUCUGCGGCCUAUCAGGUAGUAGUGGGUGUAGCGUACCUACUAGCCUACGACGGGUACGGGUUGUGAGGGCAAGAGCCCGGAGAUGGAUUCUGAGACACGAAUCCAGGCCCUACGGGGUGCAGCAGGCGCGAAAACUUUACAAUGCGGGAAACCGUGAUAAGGGAAUCUCGAGUGCCAGCAUAUAAUGUUGGCUGUCCAGAUGCCUAAAAAGCAUCUGUUAGCAAGGGCCGGGCAAGACCGGUGCCAGCCGCCGCGGUAACACCGGCGGCUCGAGUGGUAACCGUUAUUAUUGGGUCUAAAGGGUCUGUAGCCGGCCGGAUAAGUCUCUUGAGAAAUCUGGCAGCUUAACUGUCAGGCUUUCAGGAGAUACUGUCUGGCUCGAGGCCGGGAGAGGUGAGAGGUACUUCAGGGGUAGGGGUGAAAUCUUGUAAUCCUUGAAGGACCACCAGUGGCGAAGGCGUCUCACCAGAACGGACCUGACGGCAAGGGACGAAAGCUAGGGGCACGAACCGGAUUAGAUACCCGGGUAGUCCUAGCCGUAAACGAUACUCGCUAGGUGUCGGCCACGGUGCGACCGUUGUCGGUGCCGUAGGGAAGCCGUGAAGCGAGCCACCUGGGAAGUACGGCCGCAAGGCUGAAACUUAAAGGAAUUGGCGGGGGAGCACCACAACGGGUGGAGCUUGCGGUUUAAUUGGAUUCAACGCCGGG
rnacentral:rRNA from 1 species